rnacentral:rRNA from 1 species
UACGUAGGGGUCGAGCGUUGUCCGGAGUUACUGGGCGUAAAGCGUGCGCAGGCGGCUCAUUGCGCCCGGCGUGAAAGCCCCCGGCUCAACCGGGGAGGGUCGUCGGGUACGGGUGAGCUUGAGGGUAUCAGGGGCUGGUGGAAUUCCCGGUGUAGUGGUGAAAUGCGUAGAGAUCGGGAGGAACACCCGUGGCGAAGGCGGCCAGCUGGGAUACACCUGACGCUGAGGCACGAAGGCGUGGGGAGCGAACGGG